CUCCGCCGGUCCCCGCAUUGGAAGACUACCUUCGCUUCUCUCAUAGCCCCAGGAAGGAGCCGCCAUUGGACACGGCGCCGGUCCAGGAAGGAGACCAUUCCGCCCUGCGCGAGGAUGCUGAACCUUAGCAGUCCUUUUGUGGAAUGUUUACACUGGAGACUGAACCUCAGCGUUCCAAGGCCGGGACCGGAGAUGGCGGGCAGCUCAGCGGUCAAAACCCGAGGCUUGAGAUUUGAAAAGGAAAAGGCAGUAGUAUUACCGCCGUGGAGGAUUAACCAAAACAAUGACAGAAAGCCUUGUCCUUCCUACCCACUUAUUUUUACACUUUCACGGUCUUCUAAAAACAGCCAUCUGGAGCACUCAGCAGCUACUUUCAGCAAGCCGACUCCAAAAUUAAGGUCUAGAGCUCUAAUCUGAUCCAAAAGCCCAGAUAUUAGUAGCCGGUCACUAGGGCUGACGGCAUACUGUGACACUGGGACAACCAGAAUCUGCAGCCCUCAGGGGGCGGAGAUAACCCAGAGGAGGCCUUUAAAUGUCACAGCCUGGGCAAGCCUCCGGAAGGCGGAGCAUGAGGGGGAAAUGUAUACUCUAUUGGUUGGGUAGAUCCAGGGACAUUUUAAACUGGAGGAAGAGAGGCUGAAAACCUCACACAGACCACUGUAUAAAUAAACCUUGAGUGUGC
rnacentral:lncRNA from 1 species